UGUUAUCGAUUUGUCUAAUUUGAUUCUGACUCCAUCCCUUACCUAGCUUGGAUUAAUCUGACAUUCAAAAUCCACAGAGAUUUGAAUCGAUUCAAACCUUGCUCAUUUAUAUCGGAACGGGGAAAAACCUAGAUUGAAGCACUAUUUGGUGAAGGGGUUAUUGAGUUCGAAACAAUUGAAUUCAAUUAUGAAUACGAGUGAUUCGGCAUCGAAAUCUGCUUCUCAAACGGGGACUUCGUCGAGUCAAUCUUUGCUGGGAGCAGGGGCGACGACUCUCCCUUUCGCUGGAGCUGGAUUACCAACUCUUUCUUUCCCAGGAACGACGGUGCCCACUUACAAUUAUGCUAUAGCUUUGCAGCAGUACCAUUUUCAGCAAUCACUUGCAAAUCAACAACUGGUAGCGCAGCAACAGGCGGUUGCACACGCUGUAAGCAUUAAAGCUGCCACUGAACAGGCAGCUGCUCGUGCUGCUGAGAUUAGUAGGCUUUUGAAAGGUGAAACUAAUGAGCUACCAAAAGCCAAAUCCGAGGACUUGGGUCCCAAAAAGCAAAAUUCAAAUUCAAAAUCCCUUUCUCGGACUUCAUCCCCUAGGUCUUCAAAAUCAAAAUCUGUCUCUCCAGUCAGGCCCUCGAGUACCCGUAUGGAACGUGAAGAAUAUUCACCAAGAGAACGCAGCAGCUACCGAAGUCAUAGACAUUCUAAUUACUAUCAUCGUAAUGACAGGGACUAUUCUAGAUCAAGUUACAGAAGAGAUGCUGAUCGUUCAGGUGGUAGAAGAAGUUACUCAUAUUACCGGAGUGGAGGCAGGAGUCGAAGGAGCUCACCAUCUAGGCCGUGGUCCAUGAGGUACCGCCAUGAUGACUUUUUUCCUCCUAGGUACCGGCGUGAUGACUCUGCUUCUCCUAGGCGCCGCCGUAUUAGAUCCCCGUCACAGAAGUCUAGACGCGUGAUGUCUCCAAGGGUUCGGAACCGGCAUAGUAUGUCUAGAAGUCCUAUUAAUGGGAGCGUCAGUCCCAGUCCUCGACGUGACAGGAUUACAAGCCCAAAAAGACCAGGUGGAAGGAGCUCGUCAUCCUCAGAUACAAGUUCCAGUCCCUAUAGUCCUCGUCGUGUGGCAAAGGGCAAUAGAGUUGACCAUGAUGCCAGCAGCAGUCCAAGUCCUCAGCGUACCAGGAUUACAAGUCCAGAAAGACCAGGUAGAAGGAUCUUGUCAUCCUCAGAAACCACUUCCAGUCGCGGUAGUCCUAGUCAUGUUGCAGCCAAGGGCAAUAGGGUUGACCGUGAUGUCAGUAGCAGUGAAAACAAUAAUGUGUCUGAUCCAGAUUUUAAGGCACGACAGAAGGAAGCUAGACCAUCUGCUGCACAGAGGACUGAAAGUUCUAAUUCUUCUUUGAGAUCAAGAUCUAGUUUGAGUGAAUAUUCUGGUAAAAGAAGUACUCAGAAUGCCAGUUUUAAGAAAGUGGCCUCAGAUAAGGUUGCAUAUGCUGGUGGAGAUGAUUCUCAUUCUGCCAGUUCUGAUGGAAAAUUAGUUCAACAAUCCUCAGGUGCAAGUCAUGAUGAAAGUGAUUCAGCUGCAUCUGCUCGUCCAACGUCUACUGGGAGUAGACAUUAUCAGGCCACAAAUCUGAAUAGGCAUCCUCUUUCACCCGAAUCUUCUCUUUCCAAUCAUGGAGGCAAGGUGAGGUACUCUGAAAAGGACAAAGAAAAUACCGGUGGUAAAAAAUAUUUAGUCCAAGAAGUGCAGCCAUCCCUUUUCCCUAGAAGUAAGACCUCGAAGUUGAUCAGGAAGGAACAUGAGCUGCCUCCUAAAGAUUUUGAAGGUUCAGUUCAUUCUGUGGGCAAAGAGCUAGAUGGCAGGACAAAGGUGAAAAGUAAUCAUGGGACUUUGUCAGAAGACGUAAUGGGAGUGGAUGUAAAUGACAGCGAUCAUCAGAAAAGAGGGGGUUCCAGUCCUGAGAAUAAGAGAUUUGAAGACCUAAACAUUCCCAGUGAAUGUGCUAUCUAUCCUUUACCAGAACCUCAUGAAAGUACAGGUGGAAAGUUAUCCAUUCAUAAGAACCUUGAGGAUCUUAAUCAAGAACAAGAUCACCUUAAAUCUCCUCCAACUCUGCCUGAUGGAAGUGCAAAGGUAGACAAUGAUCAGGUCUCAGUGAGUUCAGAUGCUCAUCAAUAUCCAAAAAGAAGGUCCAACCAAAGGUCAAGGUCCACAGAGAGGAGGAAGAAACAUAGCAAAAGACACCGUAGGCAUCAUAGAGAGGAUUCUGAUGAAGAUGAUCACAUAAAAGAAAGCCGAAAGGCAUCAAAAUUACACCACAGGAAGAGUCAGAGGGGGGAAGAGUCCGAAGAUGAUGAUGGUGAUGAUGACAUCAAAGAUAGCAGGAAAGAGUCAAAAAUACACCACAGAAGGCACACGAGGGAAGAGUUUGAAGAAGAUGAUGAUGAUGAGAUGAAAGAAAGCAAAAAAGAGCCAAAACUUCACCAUAGAAGGCAUAAGAGGAAAGAAUCGGAAGAAGAAGAUGAUGAUGAUGAGAUGAAAGAUACCAGAAAAGAUCCAAAAUUACACCAUAGAAGGCUUAAGAGGGAAGAGUCUGAAGAAGAAGAUGAUGCUGAUGACAUGAAUGAAAGAAGGAAAGAUUCAAAAACUAGAAGGCAUGGGAAGAAGCGUCACAGGAAGCAUCAUAAGAGCCGUAAAGAAAGGACAAGGAAGAAGAGGAAACGUCGAGACAUGUCUUCUAGUUCAUCCGACGAUUCUCUCUCUUCUUCUUCUUCUUCUUCUUCUGAUGAUGAUGAUGAUGAGAAUAGGAGAGAUUUCCGUGAUGUUCCUAGAAAGAGAACAACCAGUUCUAGGAAAAAGAGAAGAUACUCUCCAUCUGCAUCAACUAGCUCAGGCUAGUAUGACUAAUAAUACACCAAUUGAAGUUUCAUCCAUCCCAAAAAACAAAUAUAGUACCAUGGAACAGAUGAGAUGCCCCUUCUUUCUAUCUCUAGGUGACAAAAUUGAGAAAACACCAAUCAUUUCUUGCAUUGAUGUGAUAAUUGAAGGUAUCUGAUAAGUCUUCUCCCAGUGACACUUAUGUAGUAGGUGAGAAUUGAAGCAUGUGAAUGGUUGGUUGAUUAAACUUCAUUUUUUUAUUUAUGCUGCUUGGAGUUUGUUUUCAAUUUUAGCUGCUUUCAUGGCUUCCUUUCUACAAUUACUACUACAAUUGUUAACGAUUUCACUGUUAAAGCAACCCCCCCCCCCCCCUCCAAAAAAAAAAAAAAAUAGUGAAGGGAUAUAUCAUCAGUGGCUGCCUCCUGAGAAUUGUAAAGCUAUCUCAUGAUAACAUCAAAUUCUGACGUGAUUUUGGAGGUUAUUUUGGCAGUUCUGUAAUUGAUGAGGCCUAGAAAUCUUGCUGAUGUGUCUUAAGAAUGGCUAUUGUCUUUGUUGCUUCCAGAAGAUAGUUGUUUCUUUUCUUUUGUAAGCUGUUAAAAUUCUACAGUCAAUGUUACUGAAAAUCCUACAUUGUGUACCUUUUAAUGAAUAGUUGCAAAGUAUCUCCACUUGUACAUAA